rnacentral:lncRNA from 1 species
CGAGAGCCGCGCAAGGCGGGCGGCGAUAGGCGGCGCGGGCUGCCCGUCAGCCCGCCGCGGCCCUGCGCUCCGGCUGGGGCGCAGGGCGGUGAGUACGUGAGGAGCCGCACAGCAGCGCGCGGGCGGGUUGGGGGGGGGGGGGGGGGGAGACGCUGCCGCCGCCCUGCGCCAAUGGGGCGGAGAGGCCCCGCCCCCUCCCCGCAGCGCCUCAUGGCGGCGGGGGCAGGUGGGAGCCGGGCCCGGGGCUCCCCCCUGCAGCGGGGAGGCCAAAAAGUGACCCCCCAGCACCCCCUUCCCGCUCGCCCCCCGCCAUCACCGGGGCAUCCCGUCACGGCAGCCCGCGCUGGGCCCGGCCCCGGGGCCUCAGGCCCGCGGCGUCGCACCCCGGGGCGGGCUUUACGCUGAGGUAAAUCGGUGUCGCCGCCCCGGGCUGCAGCCCAGCGCGGGCAGGCUUCGCGCCCAGGCAGCCCGAGCUCGCCCUCGACGCCGGGCGAGAUGGCGGUCGGCGAGGCGGGUCGCCCCCAGUGAGCCGUCCGGCCUUGUCAGCGAAGGGAAAGGCCGCCGCACGUGGGAACUGGCCCGUUUGGCCCAUCUGCCCGAGGCUCGCGUGAGGAAAAACGGCCCCGGAGAGGGAAGAGCAGCCCCUGGAUGGCACUAGGCUGCCGGGAUGCUGGAGCUACAGGUUGCCCUAAUGCCCGCAGUACCUGUGUGCCUGUUACCAGGACUCCCAGCCCUCCUUGCAUCCUGCCUCCAUCACCGCAGAGGAACAGCCUUUUUAUACCCGCUGCAAUUACACAGCCAUGGAAGCCUGCCAGGGUAAAGAAGUAUCAGGGGCAUUUUUUAAUUUGUGUCCAAUUAAAUAGCGCAGACCAUAGAUUCUGUACGCUGGCUGGGAAGCGAGAUGGGAAUUCCCAAAAUAGAAGGAAGAUCCUUGUAUUGUUUUUCAGUGUUGUUAUUCUGGUUUCCUGAUUCCUUAUCUAUGAACAUUCAUUUUACCAAAUCACAUGCUGGAUGUUUACCCUGUAGAAUUCCACAACAGAAAUGUAUACCUACAAAAUGCACGCGCAAGUAACGUACAAGAAACAAAAGCAUCAUCCAGUUAACAGUCUCUGCCACCACAAAAGCAACCCAUUCCUAUCCAAAGCCAUACACCAGCUCACCUUAGACUUACAGCACAGUAAUUUUGCUACUACAGCUUUGUUUUGAGAUCUACAAGCCUAAAGUUAUAAAUUAUCGACAUUGCACUGAAGUUCUAAUUUUAUGGUAAAUAAACACUAAAAACCAGAAAACUACA